rnacentral:tRNA from 1 species
GAGGGUAUAGCUCAGUGGUAGAGCGCAUGCCAAGCAUGCAUGAGGUCCUGGUUCAAUCCCCAGUAGCUCCA